rnacentral:rRNA from 1 species
AUUCCAGCUCCAAUAGCGUAUAUUAAAGUUGUUGCAGUUAAAAAGCUCGUAGUUGAACUUCUGACAGUUGAUUUAGCUGGCUUCGGUCGCUUUAUUGGCUGUCAUCCGCUUGGGAACCUCAUUCGGUCUUCAUUGGUCGGUGGGAGGAUCAAGCAUUUUACUUUGAAAAAAUUAGAGUGUUCAAGGCAGGCAAUCGCCAUGAAUACACAAGCAUGGAAUAAUGGAAUGAGACUUUCAGUCACUUUAUUGGUUAUUGACUGGUAGUAAUGAUUAAUAGGGACAGUUGGGGGCAUUCGUAUUUAAUUGUCAGAGGUGAAAUUCUUGGAUUUAUUAAAGACGAACUUAUGCGAAAGCAUUUGCCAAGGAUGUUUUCAUCA